GACAAGUUACAAGUGUCCAGACUCUUAUUUGCUGUGUAGGAUCAUUUAAUUAGGGAAUAUUACAUUUUUACUCCUGUUAGGCCAUUUCAGCAGAAGCGUCCCAACUUUUUUGAAAAUGGGGUUGUAGAUAUAAAGCCUUCAUCAUUACAGACAUGGCAGAGACACAAAUACAAAUGGAAGAACCAGCUGUUGAACCUUUCCCUAGAUCCAUCAUAUCCAGACUGAAAUCCUCUCACAUCUGCCGUAAUGUGAUUGGUGCUCUGGCUCUGGGCCUGGUGGCUGGAGUCUCUGCUGGAGGCUGUAUGGGAGCCAUGGCUGCAGAGAUGGCCUACCUUUUAAAAGACAUUAAAAUAAAUGAGACUGAGCUCAGGAUGAAAAUUUCAAAUUAUCCAAAUUAUCCAUUUUUAUCAACUGUACACAUCACCUAUGUGUGUCUGCAA